GGUGAUUUCAAAACAGGAAGCCUCGGUGGGGAGCGGGGAGGAGUCGGCGAAGGGAGAGCUGCUGCAAAGGGGCCCAGGUGCAUAGGCGGGACUCAGGCGGGAGAUGUCGCUGGCGCCGGUCUCCACGGACAGGAAAGGCCCCGGGCCCAGCCCAGCUCCUAAGCAGCAUCGGUCUGGGGCCCGGCGGGGACUGUUCAGCGGGCCAGGCGGCAACAAAGACGCAUCUCUCCCUGGGGCAGGGGUUUUCUGUGAGGAAGAAGGGAGCACCCUAUGCCUUCCUGUCUGCCAACGCAGAGCCCCUUCUGAGGAAACCUCCUCGGGAGCCCUCCAGGACUGACUCCUGAGGGCCGCUGUCCCUGGCCCCUUAGGCCCUCUGCGACUUAACUCGGCCAUGCCCCUUUGCAGUGGAAUAUUCUGUCUGAUGCCCUGUCCCCACCCCACUCUAACAUGCAACUCGCCAGGGUUUCUAGUCUCAGCUCCUGGCGGCACCUCGCGUUUUGCAAAGUUGUUUCAUCACCAGCGUGUCCUUCCAUCUUCAGGACAGCUCCCGGAGGUUGCGAACGGCAUGCCUAUUUUACAGAGGCGGAAGCUGGGAGCAAAGAGGGUAAGCCACGUGUGCCGACGUUCCAGAAGCAGACCUUCUGAUCUCAGACUCUUCCUUUUCAAGGAAGUCCCAACUCCUAUCUCCUACCUGGCUCUGAACCCAAGGUGUGUCUAAGGUGGCCAGGGAUGCCAGUACAGCCAGGGAGAAGAGUGAAGAGACCAGUUAUUUCGGGCUGGAAAUGAAUUUAACCAAACCAGAUGUCGUGGAAGACAGGAGAAAAAGAGAAACUGGGAGAAAAAUGGUUUCAGGGUUUUGCUCUCUUUCCGGGAAGGAUGUGUUCUCCAUCUUGUAGGUCUUCCUCCUCCAUGAGUUUAUUAUGAGCUUCUUGAGGAAGAAGACCAGCUCUUCAUCCUUCACGGUGCCAACGAUGUUUGUUGAAUUGAAGAAGAAAGAGCUAAAAGCCUAAGCCCUGUACAAGUCCCCAGACAAAAAGGUCAGAAACGUGGAAGGAGGCUGUGCUUUAGCAGAUGUUAGCUUGUAACUGUCCACGUCAAACACUGGCCAUACCAGUGAGAUAAACAGAAAUUAGGAAACACUCACGGCUUCCCUCAUCUUCCUCAUGCCCAGUCCUCAAGCAGGAACCAAGGCAUCCUGAGUGAGGCUGACUGUACUUCCUCUGCUCCAUCCGCAUGCUCCCCUGACUCGGGCCAGACUGUUUCUCACCUGUCCAGUCCACUCUGGUUUUCCCCUAGCCUUUCCUCCCUCUUGUACACCAUCCUCAUUGCUGGCAGGGUCAUUAUUCUAGAACUUAGAUUUGACCGUAUUACCUCUGCUUAAGCCUUCGCACUCCCUGUUAACUGAAAGAUAUCAUCUUUUCCACAUGGCAUCCGAGGUGCUCCAUGGUGGUGCCCAAAUCCACCCUUCUAGACUCAACCCUGCCAUUUUCCUCCCAGGCCCCCUACAUCUCAACAACCCUGAACUCUCUCUCCCCCUCAAUACGUUGUUUCCUUGUCUUUGCGCAUGCUGGGCCCCUCUGCCCGGAAAACUGCUCCCCCUUCUCCACACAUACAUGUUCUCUACACACUUUUCUAUAUCCAGCCCAAAUAGCUCUCUGUGCAACACAGUGGAGUUAAUUGUUCCCACCAAGGCCUCAUAGAUCUGUUUGGGUAUCCAUUAAGCUGUGUGUUCAUUUACAGAACCCAAAGAACAUAGGACGAUGUCUUUUACUUCUUUGAUCUCCAACACCUAUCCUAUACUGGGUGCUCAAGAAAUGUUGAAUAAAUAAAGGAAUAAAGUCUAGGUCUUUGUGAGUCAGGUUGGUGGAACAGGCCUUCCUAUCUGUCUAGGCUUUUGUUUCUUCCCUUAACUACAAGACUGUGUAUCUAGCCUUUCUUCAUGACAAGCUGUUCUCGUUAGAGAAGAGUUAUAUUAUUCUAGCUUUCAGUCACCCACUGGCUGAUGGGUUAUCCAAUGGAAACUCUGUUGCCCGUCUACUAUAUGGAUAAGAAUUGCAAAUGAAAGCAGCUUAGUGUGCUAAAAACAAGAUCUUAAGUACAUUCGAAGGGAAAAUAAACAAAUGGGGAAUGUAUGCCAUUGGUAUUAUAUGUGAUGGCUUUAAUGUCAUUUUGCUGAUCAUUUAUGCAGUUCCCCUUCUCUGGCCAACCCCUUAAGUGCAAAUAAUUGAGGGUUGUCAAAACAUUUUCAAUAACUCUGACCUUUGCACAUAUACGGUGAGUAAGAAGGUGUAGAAAAAUUACUGGCCUUCAAAAAGGGGAAAGGUUCACUCCUGAAUUGCUUAAGAAAUGACAAAAUGAGUUCAUAUAAAGCUUGAUAGGGAACAGGAAGUUAAAAAAAAAAAAAACUGUGAUAAGGAAAGAGAAAUGCUGACCCAGAAAAGAUGAUCUGAAAAUGCAGAGGGAAACUUUUUUGACACAGAUGUAAUGUAAGAUCAUUGCUCUGAGGUGUUUUUUUUUUGUUUGUUUGUUUUUUAAGAUAGGGCUAUAAAAGUGAGAAUUGAACUCAUGAUUCUGUAAGACAAGCAUGUCUGAUGAGCGGGGGGAAAUGGUUAUUCACUCUACUGGAAUUGCUUUAAUGGAAACUUCUUGAUGAGAGUUGUGUCUUAAAAUACUCAUCCAGUGAUGAGGAGUUAUUUCAAGAUGUGAAGUCAAGGAGGUGGUUGCAGUGAGGUUCGUGUGUGAAGCACGCCAUGUCUUCAGGAUGCCGAGUGGAGCCAGAUGAACAGUGUGCCAACAACUGUUCCCACUGGCCUUUUUGGACAGCUGGUUCCCAUCCCAGGGACAUACUGGCAGCCAUCAGCAACUAGUAAAUCUAUGAAUGGCGCCCAAGCAAAAGGGCGGGGCGAGGCCUUGAGCUCCUUCCUUUCUCCUUGGUAAUCCCCAUCUGCCCAGCAGAGUCCUUCCCUCUGGCUCAGCCGUCCCAAACUCUUCUCCAUUCUCGCUCUCUACUACAACAGUAGACAAGGCCCCCAGUAGACCUCCGGGCCUCCAGCCCGCUUUCUGUGCCCAUGAAAACCAACAGCUUUUGAAGUGCAACUCUCAAGAGAGGAGAAAUUAAAUUUCAACUGUCCAAUUCGGCUGUCCCUGUUCCGGUGCGUCAUUCAAGACCCAGGUCAAUGUCACCUCCUCUGAUCCUUCUUCCAGUUCUCCCAGGCAGCAAGACACUACUUCUCCUGUGUUAAUAUGUUUCUGUACAUGCCUCCACUUUCAUAGACUCCUAUCGCUACUAUGGUAAUCUGGUUGCACACCUUGGGUGCCCUUAAAGUCAAAGACUCCAAGUCUCCAUUCCCCCAAGCCUAGCACAAGGCUUCUCAGUAUGUGCUUGUGGAAUGAAAUGUCCAUAUGAAUAUACUUCCGAAUGAAGAGCAACCGUGGGCAGAUUUUGUCUGUUGACAUCCUUUUGAAGACAAGAGCCAAACAUGUUGAACGGCAGCCAUUGCCCAUGUGAAACUUGAAUUUGGGCUGAGGUUUGGUGCAAGGUGCCUGAGCCACAUAAACAAGCAAACUGGAGGGCUGGGAUUGGUUUCCAGUAACUUAUCAGUGACAUACUUGGGGAUGUGAACACUCCCCUUUCCAAAGUCAAUACCCAGUCCUUGCCAGACAUCUUCUCCUGAAGCACUUAUUAAACGGGGCGCCACGGAGCUCCAGAAAUAAAGGAGCUUGAAGAAAGCACUUGGCAUUUAUGAUGGUUUGGAUUAAAAUUUAAUUGGGACUGAGAUGGACUGAGUGCGAAGCUAAGGUGAAUUUCCUAGUGCAAAGGGGAGCUCAUUUUCUGUUUGUGUGAGGUAACCUAUGUGUUCACCCCACCCCUACACUCGCUCCCCAUAUCCACAGUCCUUUCUCAAUUCCUAUUUAGCACAAGGCUCUGGGUCUCUAAAGAGAGGAAGGCCAAUUACAUCACCCAUGUGGGUGGGAGACAUUGACCCUGAUAUGCCAAAGGCCUUUAAAACCUUCUGUUUGAUAUGAUGUAGGUACAGUGGUGGGUACACCAUAAUAGGUCAGAAAUUUCAAUACUAUUCAUUGGAAGAGAUGGAAAGGUUUCACGGGCGGGAGAGAAGGAGGGAAGGUAGAAUUCUAGCACUAAUUUGAAGAGAAGGAGCCAUUUGGGGAAACUAGAAGUUUAAAAAUAGCUCACCUUUGGGGCACCUGGGUGGCUCAGUCAGUUAAGCGGCCGACUCUUGAUCUCUGCUCAGGUCAUGAUCUCACAGUUUGUGAGAUCAAGCCCUGUGUUGAGCUCUGCCCUGACAGCACGGAACCUGCUGGGGAUUCGCUCUCUCUCUCUCUCUCUCUCUCCCCCUCCCCCACUUACUUGCAAGAGCUCGCUCUCAAAAAAACUUUAAAAAAAUAGCUCAACUUUUUAGGUCUUAUGGCUAAUCCUUAUCGAAUGGCAUCCAGAACGCUGUCAGACCCUUUGGGCAUAGGACAUUUCAGGGGAAGACUUCUAGGAUAAAGCUGUUGGCAUACCCAGGCAACCCUCACUUUAAGGCUAUUUUAAAUGGGCUUGUCGGCUUAUAUAAUUGAGGCUUGUUGGGAGCUGGAAGAGGGGUGGUGGGAAAACCAUGAUUUCAUCUCUGUUAUAAACACAGGAAAUAAGUGUGCCACGAAAGGACUUCAUAGGUUGUGUUUUACAAGCUGUGGGAAAUGCCAUGGGAGAACCUAAGCCUACCUUAUGGUGAGAUGAAGUCCAGCCAGGAGCAAAAUUCCUGAGUCUCAGUUAAGAUAUUGAUACCUAAAAUGUGAAGAGUAGAAAGGGAAGCCUGGGGAAGCCUGGCUGGCUCAGUGGGUAGAGCCUGUGAUUCUUGAUCUUGGGGUUGUGAGUUCGAACCCCAUGUUGGAUGUAGGAAGAAACAAAAAAAGGCAGGUCCAGAUACCCCCUGUCUAAAUGUUUGGAAGUAAUAAAUCAAGUGAACAAACUGGUCAAUUAAAUAGGUCUUACCCUCCUACUUGACAAAUAUCCCUUCAUAACAGCCCGAUUAGAUUUCUCAAGCUGCUUGGCGUUCUGUGCAAGAGAUAGCAGCCAACAACCCCGGAUUCCUCUCUACCUGUGGUGUGCCCCCCUCCACAUUACACUCUGCCCCUGGCUUCUUUGGGUACCAAGAGGGGCCCCACAUGCACGUGGAUGGACACCCCAGGAGUAUGUCAAAGCUCUGUCUGUACCUCCAUGAAUAGCUGCACCUUGGUCAUCCUCAGGGUUAGAAGUAUCUGUCCUCAGGAGGCCAGACAUGAGGAAGAAACCCAAGAAACGGGUUCUCAGUCAUUUGGGUCUCCAGUACCCCAUAUGUAGCGUUUUUGUCGGGAGCGGCGAGGGGAUACCUGGGAGGACACGGGCUCCAGGCAAGCAAAUCUCCGUGAACCUAAGGAGUCUUCAUCUAUACUAAAGGGCAUGGCCAUGGGAAGCCCAGAAUGGAGACUUCGGGUCAAGAGCAGGUCCAGGUACAAAAGCUUCGUGAACGAGUCACGUGAGAGAGAACAAAGGGAAAUGAACUAGGAAGAGUGACAUCCCUACAUUGUACAGGCUGUGCGUGACUGCAGAUCCUUCCGUAGAACUAUCGGCGGGCAGAAGUAGCGACAGGGUCGCGGUUGGGGGUGUGGGGGAGAGGAAAGGGCCAGAUACGGACCGAGGGGUGAGUAAGGAAUCAGAUAUAUGUAUCGCAACGCGCUGAAGAGAUAAGUUCUGUGGCACAGCGUUGGUAAUGCAUUUCGUGACGGCUGAGCGACAGAAUCUGCCUCAGGAUGGGCCUCUCUGGGGGAGUCUGAGGGGCCAGCCUGCGGCAGAAAUGGAACCAGAGAUGACACUUGUGUCCACCUGGCAGCCGCUUCCAGAGACAGGGGUGAGCUGGGCAUUGGUGACAUCACAAAGACAGAUGUGCUCAAGAGGAAGCAUUCCAGUCCUUCUGGGUAUCCUCUGAGAUAAGUAACCAGGAACUCAGGCCAAUUACUCUGGGGCCUCCGCACCCUCAUCCCGAUCCGGUCAGCCAUGCCGUGCCAGCCUCCGUUCUGUCAGGAAGGGGUUUCGCUGUCAGGAGGGUUCAAUCUCGUGCCCAAGGUCACAGGGCUGUAGGUGGCAGAGCUGGGAGUCAAACAAGUCCCUGGGACCCCAGAGCCUCUCUCCUUCCACAAGCCCGCCCAGCACUGAAUGGCGACACCAGGUACAAAGGGGUCAGUGAUCCGCCCACAAUGUGAGGCUCUCGGGCCUUGUUAGGUUGUUUUGAAACAAGGAAAGCCGGUCCGCCUGACUAGAUUCUGUUUUUUAUUUAUUUUUAAAAGGCUGUGAGCUUUGUACUUAUUUUUUUAAUGUCUUAUUGAUUUUUAAGGGAAAGAGAGAGAGCGAGCGAGCACGUGAGCAGGGGAGGGGCAGAGAGAGGGAGGGAGAGAGAGGAUCUGAAGCGGGCUCUGCACCGAGAGCCCGACGCAGGACUCGAACCCACGCACUGCAAGACCGUAACCGGAGCCAACGUCAGACACUUAACCGAGGGAAGCACCCAGGAGCCCCCUGCGCUGCAUUUUAAAGCCCUGACUAGGCAGGUACGUAUGCGUCUCCUGUCUCGGAGAGGUCUGAGACCCAGGCGAGAAACCCGCUUGCAGCUGUAUUCAUUCUCACCGCACAGCUCACAGG